AUUGAACGCUGGCGGCAGGCUUAACACAUGCAAGUCGAGCGGGGUGAUGGUGCUUGCACUAUCACUUAGCGGCGGACGGGUGAGUAAUGCUUAGGAAUCUGCCUAUUAGUGGGGGACAACAUCUCGAAAGGGAUGCUAAUACCGCAUACGUCCUACGGGAGAAAGCAGGGGAUCACUUGUGACCUUGCGCUAAUAGAUGAGCCUAAGUCGGAGUAGCUAGUUGGUGGGGUAAAGGCCUACCAAGGCGACGAUCUGUAGCGGGUCUGAGAGGAUGAUCCGCCACACUGGGACUGAGACACGGCCCAGACUCCUACGGGAGGCAGCAGUGGGGAAUAUUGGACAAUGGGGGGAACCCUGAUCCAGCCAUGCCGCGUGUGUGAAGAAGGCCUUAUGGUUGUAAAGCACUUUAAGCGAGGAGGAGGCUCUUUUGGUUAAUACCCAAGAUGAGUGGACGUUGCUCGCAGAAUAAGCACCGGCUAACUCUGUGCCAGCCGCCGCGGUAA
rnacentral:rRNA from 1 species